UAAAUUAGGUCUGGCUGCUCACUGACUUGUUUUGAAGAGCCGCGGUAUUUUGACCGUGCAAAGGUAGCAUAAUCAUUAGUCUCUUAAUUAGAGGCUGGAAUGAAUGGUUUGACGAGGAAUUGACUGUCUCUAUUUAAUAUCUAGAAUUUAACUUUUGAGUUAAAAGGCUUAAAUUUUUCUUUAGGACGAGAAGACCCUAUAGAGCUUAAUAUAUAAUUUUUAUAUGGUUUUUAGUUUGUUUUCCUAUAUUUAAUUUAAUAUAUUUUGUUGGGGUGACAUGAAGGAUAAUUAAACCCUUCAUUAUUAAAUCAUUGAUUUAUGUUAUUUUGAUCCAUAAUUUAUGAUCAUAAGAUUAAGUUACCUUAGGGAUAACAGCGUAAUUGUUUUAGAGAGCUCAAAUCGACAAAGCAGAUUGCGACCUCGAUGUUGGAUUAAGAAAAAUGCUAGGUGCAGUGGCUUAGUGAUUAGGUCUGUUCGACCUUUAAAUUCUUACGUGAUCUGAGUUCAGA
rnacentral:rRNA from 1 species